rnacentral:rRNA from 1 species
CCAAAUGUGUUCACUCCUUCCGAGGGGAGUGAGGAAAGGAAGCUUCGGCCUCCGCAUUGAGAUGGGGCCCGCGGCCCAUUAGCUUGUUGGUGAGGUAACGGGCUCACCAAGGCUUCGAUGGGUAGCUGGUCUGAGAGGACGAUCAGCCACACUGGGACUGAGACACGGCCCAGACUCCUACGGGAGGCAGCAGUGGGGAAUCUUGCACAAUGCGCGAAAGCGUGAUGCAGCAACGCCGCGUGGGGGAAGACGGCCUUCGGGUUGUAAACCCCUUUCAGUUGGGACGAAGCUUCGUCGGUGAAUAGCCGGUUGGAGUGACGGUACCUUCAGAAGAAGCCCCGGCUAACUACGUG